ensembl:lncRNA LINC01226 long intergenic non-protein coding RNA 1226
ACUGGCUCUGCUAGCUUCCACCUGGGCUCCAACUGCCAGACCCCCCCAGAGCUUCACACAAGCUAUCGCUGACUGCCGGUGCAUGUUGGAAAUGGGCCACAGGGCUGGGCAUGAUAUGAGCUGCCUGGACAUUGGAGGGGGCUUCCCCGGAAUGGAGGGCUCCGGGCCCAAGUUUGAGGAGGGAUAAUUCUAAUGCCUACCUGCAGGGUGCCUCGGGGAUGAAAGGACUGAUGCAGCAGUUGAGAACAACAAGCAAUAACAACCAUACGAAGAAUCUAGCAAACUCAGACUUUACUUCUCCUUUUCGUGGUCCUGGAAACAGCUCAGAAUAAAGUGGAUCUGGACCUCUACAGAAGAGAGGGAGCUCCAGAUUCCAGGCCUCAGCAGUUGAGCUGGUUCACCUUGGAAUCUGACUCUGACAAGCAAAAGGAAGCAGAGUCUGAUCAUCUUUCCAGCACCUGCCAGGAGAACAGGCAGUGGCAGUGUGACCAAGAACCAUGCCUGGUGGAUCCAGACAUGAUCAAAGCCAUCAACCAGGGCAACUAUGGGUGAGA